ACCUGCAACAGGGCAGCAAUGCAUUAAGUUAAUACUUUGUGGUAUUUCCCCACUAUUCUUUGCAGGAAAGCUAUAUAUGUUCAGAGUUUUGAAAAGGCUGUCCUGUUGGUGCCUCCAGGAAAUCGGCACAGAAAUAUUGUAUCACCAUAAAAAGCGGGGAGAAUGGGAGGUUCCUUUCCAUCAUCUAGCUAGUCCCUCAAAGCAGAUGGCCUACCAACGGUGUUUUGCAUGUUAGCACGGGUUCCAUCUUUCAAUUAUUUGGGGCUCAAGCCCAAUCUGGUGAGUCAGCAAUUCCAUAAUUAGUUCCCAACCUAAUAAUUGUUUCAUAUCUCUUGCCGCGAUUGACUAGGCCUCAAUUUGCUUGACUUAGACCAAAGACUAAUAAGCAGAGGUAGCCUAGUCAAUCACGGCAAGAGAUAUGAAACAAUAGAACAAAGUGAAGUCUUUGGUCUAAGUCAAGCAAGCAUGUUCAAGUCAUGGUGGCUCUCCUUAUUAGUCAAGUCGUUGGUGAACAGACAGACAGACAGACAGAUCCAGCAAAUUGAGGCAUAGUCAGGUAGUAGUCAAGAAGCAAGGGCUAUAAAUUGAAUUACCAUGUAUGUGAUGGUGAAGGAUGGCGGUCAUGGUCGUGCGAGGAAGAAGGCGUAGAAUCCGGCGACGAUGGUGAGGAUCCCCAUGGCCCAGACGAGCAGCUGCGCCCAGGGCGGCAUGAUGGCGGCGACCUUGGAUGAGAACAUGAGCGUGAGGAGCGUGGAGAGGCCCCAGACGGCGAGC